rnacentral:rRNA from 1 species
CNGUNNGCCAUGCCGCGUGUGUGAAGAAGGUCUUCGGAUUGUAAAGCACUUUAAGUUGGGAGGAAGGGCAGUAAGUUAAUACCUUGCUGUUUUGACGUUACCGACAGAAUAAGCACCGGCUAACUCUGUGCCAGCAGCCGCGGUAAUACAGAGGGUGCAAGCGUUAAUCGGAAUUACUGGGCGUAAAGCGCGCGUAGGUGGUUUGUUAAGUUGGAUGUGAAAGCCCCGGGCUCAACCUGGGAACUGCAUCCAAAACUGGCAAGCUAGAGUACGGUAGAGGGUGGUGGAAUUUCCUGUGUAGCGGUGAAAUGCGUAGAUAUAGGAAGGAACACCAGUGGCGAAGGCGACCACCUGGACUGAUACUGACACUGAGGUGCGAAAGCGUGGGGAGCAAACAGGAUUAGAAACCCUUGUAGUCCAGACCAAGUCUCUGCUACCGUA